rnacentral:sRNA from 1 species
UCAUGAUGCGAAGUGGUUGAGUUUGAUUGAUAGAUCCCUUCUGGAUUAGUUGUUCUUAAUGCCUAUUGCUUUCUGAUCAACUGGAAUUUGAGCCCACACAUUUCCGCAUCCAAAAGGUGUUCAAUGAAAUGUCUGAACCACUAAUUCCAGAGAUUCAUAGCACUUUACCAAGGUAUUGGUUGCAGGGAGCGUUUUGGCUUUAACUUAUUGAUUCGUAAUGCUUGUUAGGUUAGCCCUCGUCAAUGGUGAUUGAGUCUGGGACUAGGUUAACUUGAGGGUCUCUGUUGCGGUGGUACUUAGAUUUGGUUAAAGAACUUGUUGUCUAGGGAUAAUUUAUUGAGCAUGUCAAUCACUUGUAAACUGAGAAAACGAAACUACUCAAUUACCAUCCUUGGGAAUUCUUUAUCUGAUUGAAUUUAUUGUUUACUCUACUGUUGUUACUGUAUCUUGUCAUCUGUUGCUUAGUUUCUGCAAUUCUUUCUUGUUACUCGACCUGAUACUCGACCACCCAGUUGUCUGGCAACAAACUGUGCAGUCGAGUAUAUUUGUUUCAUUUACUGUCUGUUACUUGACCAGUCACUCGACCUCACCCAGUGCUCUGCAACGAGCUGUGUUGGUCGAGUGUUUUACUAUUUCUGCUUGAUUUUCUGUUUUUUGCAUGUUCACUCAGGACUGCUAGAACACACCAAAACCUGUUAUUGUUUGGCUUGACUUAGUGACUUCUGAUCACAUCUUGAUUGUUAGCAUCACACCCAUUUGGAUUGACAACCUAAAAAUACUACAACGAUAUGAUUGGUGUUUUAGGAUAAUUGACUAAAAACCUAUUAUCAACAAAAGGUAAAAGACUUUAGGUGAAGUAAGCUAAAGAAGCAGAAAAAGUCUAGUAAAGGUUUUGGGAUUUGCAAAGAAAAGAAAGAGAUCUUGUUAGUUUUUGAAGAAGGGCAAAAGCCCUCGGUUUUAAAAUUUUAAAAACAGGAACCUUAGUUGUUAAAGAAAUCCAAAUCCGCUAGAUGUAUCAAAGUAUUGAGAAAGCUUCUCCUAGAGUUAAGAGAAAAGAAAAGAAUGAUUAGAAAAAGGGCUUAAAAGAUUCAUGAAUGCAAAGGGUAGAGUUAGGUUCUUAUAUUGGGAUUGGAGAUGGGAUUACCAUUAGAGCUUCAUUUGGUAUACUCUGGGUAGAUGGAAUCUUAUCUCUGUAUGCAUAGCUUGGGACUUACCUUUAGCAUUCUACUAAAGCUUAAUCAUUUUUUGAGAGAUCCCCUGUUACUGAAGCCUAUUCUGUAAGGGACCAUCUUUGUCUCUUGACCUUUUACCUUAGCCAAAUGAGUUCAUUGAUGAUGAUUUGCUUGAUUCACGUUCCAGAACUAAUGAAUGUUAAAAGGAUUGGUAGAUUUGAAAACAUGUGUAGGUUGAGCAUAAGAGUCGGAUUGAUUGAUAACAAGGCAUGGCUAACGUUUUUGAGUAGAAUUCGAUCAUAUCGCAGCUUAGAACUAUCAACUUGGACAUUGAUUUCAUCUGAUUUAUCUGGUGCUUUGGCUCUGAGUCCCCGCUUUCAAACCUCACCUCCAGCUUGUUCUUAAUUGUUUGCUUGAGGGCAAGCAAAGACUAAGUUUGGGGGAGUUGAUAAGUGUGUAUUUUGCUUGUUUUGAGCAUCCAUUUGUCAUCACUUUAGCAUCAUAUCAUCAUUGUUUUAUAUCAUUUCUCAUCAUUUGUCAUCACUUUGCAUGUUUAGGAUAGUUUUGCAUGCAUAAUGCAUAUUUCUGUUGUUUUCCGGUGAUUUGGAGCUGUUAGCGAGCUAAUUGGAAGAAGCGGACCUGAUCAUGUCAAACCACUCAACCCCCUGGUCGAGUAGAAGCUUCAGGACCUCAACAGAGCA